rnacentral:tRNA from 1 species
GGCCGCUUGGCCCAAUGGUAAGGCGUCUGACUACGAUUAAAAGCCCCUGAAAAGGAGCUUCUAAGUGAUCAGGAGAUUCUGGGUUCGAGCCCCAGGGUGGUCA